rnacentral:rRNA from 1 species
GACGAACGCUGGCGGCGUGCUUAACACAUGCAAGUCGAACGAAGUGGCGCACGGGUGAGUAACGCGUAAUCAACCUGCCCUUCAGAGGGGGACAACAGUUGGAAACGACUGCUAAUACCGCAUACUGAAGGAGGGUAUUUCGUCGGAUUAGCUAGUUGGAGGGGUAACGGCCCACCAAGGCGAUGAUCAGUAGCCGGUCUGAGGAGAUGAACAGCCAAAUUGGGACUGAGACAAUGCCCAGGAUGCUAAGGGAGGCAGCCGUGGGGAAUCCUCCGCAAUGGACUGAAGUCUGACGGAGCAACGCCGCGGGAGGGAUGACGGCCUUCGGGUUGUAAAGCUCUUUUAAUCGGGACGCGGUACCGGAAUAGAAAGCCACGGCUAACUACGUGCCAGCAGCCGCGGUAAUAC